AAUAAUUAUUUAUUGGAAUAUAUAAGUUGGAAUAAAAAGUCCCAAUUUUGGAACAAGGGUUUUCACGUGAAAAGGAAAAGAGAAGCGGCUGAAAGAGAAAAAGGGCAAAAGGCAGAACAAGAGAAGAGGAAGAGCUUGAAGCUGCAGAAUUUGCCGGAUUAACUCAGGUAAGGGGGGUUUAUCGUUGAUUUAACGGGUAUUAUAUGAUAAUAUGUCAUGGGUAGUGAUAGACCUUGAAUUACUUCUGAAUUGGAUGAUUAUGGUGAAUUUGUG
rnacentral:lncRNA from 1 species